UGGGGAAUAUUGCACAAUGGGCGCAAGCCUGAUGCAGCCAUGCCGCGUGUGUGAAGAAGGCCUUCGGGUUGUAAAGCACUUUCAGCGGGGAGGAAGGGAGUAAAGUUAAUACCUUUGCUCAUUGACGUUACCGACAGAAGAAGCACCGGCUAACUCCGUGCCAGCAGCCGCGGUAAUACGGAGGGUGCAAGCGUUAAUCGGAAUUACUGGGCGUAAAGCGCACGCAGGCGGUUGAUUGAGUCAGAUGUGAAAUCCCCGGGCUCAACCUGGGAACUGCAUUCGAAACUGGCAGGCUAGAGUCUUGUAGAGGGGGGUAGAAUUCCAGGUGUAGCGGUGAAAUGCGUAGAGAUCUGGAGGAAUACCGGUGGCGAAGGCGGCCCCCUGGACAAAGACUGACGCUCAGGUGCGAAAGCGUGGGGAGCAAACAGG
rnacentral:rRNA from 1 species